AGAGUUUGAUCAUGGCUCAGGAUGAACGCUAGCUACAGGCUUAACACAUGCAAGUCGAGGGGAAACGACAUCGAAAGCUUGCUUUUGAUGGGCGUCGACCGGCGCACGGGUGAGUAACGCGUAUCCAACCUGCCCACCACUUGGGGAUAACCUUGCGAAAGUAAGACUAAUACCCAAUGACGUCUCUAGAAGACAUCUGAAAAGAGAUUAAAGAUUUAUCGGUGAUGGAUGGGGAUGCGUCUGAUUAGCUUGUUGGCGGGGUAACGCCACCAAGGCGACGAUCAGUAGGGGUUCUGAGAGGAAGGUCCCCCANAGUUGGAACUGAGACACGGUCCAAACUCCGUACGGGAGGCA
rnacentral:rRNA from 1 species